rnacentral:snRNA from 1 species
GGAUGUGAGGGCGAUCUGGCUGCGACAUCUGUCACCCCAUUGAUCGCCAGGGUUGAUUCGGCUGAUCUGGCUGGCUAGGCGGGUGUCCCCUUCCUCCCUCACCGCUCCAUGUGCGUCCCUCCCGAAGCCGUGCGCUCGGUGGAAGAGGACGUCCUCCCAGAUAGAAGGAGUACCGUUCUUCGGUCAAGGGUAUACGAUAGCUGCGCUCCCCUGCUAGAACCUCCAAACAAGCUCUCAAGGUCCAUUUGUAGGAGAACGUAGGGUAGUACAAGCUUCCAAGACUCCAGACACAUCCAAAUGAGGCGCUGCAUUUGGCAGUCUGCCUUUCUUU